GUCUCAGUGGCUUGUCUAGGGUGGCCAGAUUUCGCCAAUAAAAAUACAGAAAUCCCAGUUCCAUUCGACUUUCAGCUGUGGAUAACUCUUGUCACCCCUCUGGAAAUCCAGUGGUUUAUCAUCGAAGGGGGAAGAGCAGUUGUUGAGCUAAACUACUGAGGAGCUCCAGUGGAGAAACGCUCUGAACUUUAGAGAUUCUGACCAGAAAUCCAGGGGAUGAGGACCUAAGACUACGAUGAGGAGAAAAAGGAAGCUGAAAUAGAA